rnacentral:rRNA from 1 species
UUAGCGGCGGACGGGUGAGUAACACGUGGGUAACCUGCCUGUAAGACUGGGAUAACUCCGGGAAACCGGGGCUAAUACCGGAUGCUUGUUUGAACCGCAUGGUUCAAACAUAAAAGGUGGCUUCGGCUACCACUUACAGAUGGACCCGCGGCGCAUUAGCUAGUUGGUGAGGUAAUGGCUCACCAAGGCGACGAUGCGUAGCCGACCUGAGAGGGUGAUCGGCCACACUGGGACUGAGACACGGCCCAGACUCCUACGGGAGGCAGCAGUAGGGAAUCUUCCGCAAUGGACGAAAGUCUGACGGAGCAACGCCGCGUGAGUGAUGAAGGUUUUCGGAUCGUAAAGCUCUGUUGUUAGGGAAGAACAAGUACCGUUCGAAUAGGGCGGUACCUUGACGGUACCUAACCAGAAAGCCACGGCUAACUACGUGCCAGCAGCCGCGGUAAUACGUAGGUGGCAAGCGUUGUCCGGAAUUAUUGGGCGUAAAGGGCUCGCAGGCGGUUUCUUAAGUCUGAUGUGAAAGCCCCCGGCUCAACCGGGGAGGGUCAUUGGAAACUGGGGAACUUGAGUGCAGAAGAGGAGAGUGGAAUUCCACGUGUAGCGGUGAAAUGCGUAGAGAUGUGGAGGAACACCAGUGGCGAAGGCGACUCUCUGGUCUGUAACUGACGCUGAGGAGCGAAAGCGUGGGGAGCGAACAGGAUUAGAUACCCUGGUAGUCCACGCCGUAAACGAUGAGUGCUAAGUGUUAGGGGGUUUCCGCCCCUUAGUGCUGCAGCUAACGCAUUAAGCACUCCGCCUGGGGAGUACGGUCGCAAGACUGAAACUCAAAGGAAUUGACGGGGGCCCGCACAAGCGGUGGAGCAUG